rnacentral:rRNA from 1 species
UACGGGGGGGGCAAGCGUUGUUCGGAAUUACUGGGCGUAAAGGGCUCGUAGGUGGCCAACUAAGUCAGACGUGAAAUCCCUCGGCUUAACCGGGGAACUGCGUCUGAUACUGGAUGGCUUGAGUUCGGGAGAGGGAUGCGGAAUUCCAGGUGUAGCGGUGAAAUGCGUAGAUAUCUGGAGGAACACCGGUGGCGAAGGCGGCAUCCUGGACCAUGACUGACGCUGAGGAGCGAAAGCCAGGGGAGCAAACGGGG